rnacentral:rRNA from 1 species
AUGAACGCUAGCUACAGGCUUAACACAUGCAAGUCGAGGGGCAGCAUUUCAGUUUGCUUGCACACUGGAGAUGGCGACCGGCGCACGGGUGAGUAACACGUAUCCAACCUGCCGAUAACUCGGGGAUAGCCUUUCGAAAGAAAGAUUAAUACCCGAUGGUAUAAUCAGACCGCAUGGUCUUGUUAUUAAAGAAUUUCGGUUAUCGAUGGGGAUGCGUUCCAUUAGGCAGUUGGUGAGGUAACGGCUCACCAAACCUUCGAUGGAUAGGGGUUCUGAGAGGAAGGUCCCCCACAUUGGAACUGAGACACGGUCCAAACUCCUACGGGAGGCAGCAGUGAGGAAUAAUUGGUCAAUGGGCGCAGGCCUGAACCAGCCAAGUAGCGCGAAGGAUGACUGCCCUAUGGGUUGUAAACUUCUUUUAUAUGGGAAUAAAGUUUUCCACGUGCGGAAUUUUGUAUGUACCAUAUGAAUAAGGAUCGGCUAACUCCGUGCCAGCAGCCGCGGUAAUACGGAGGAUCCGAGCGUUAUCCGGAUUUAUUGGGUUUAAAGGGAGCGUAGGUGGACAGUUAUGUCAGUUGUGAAAGUUUGCGGCUCAACCGUAAAAUUGCAGUUGAUACUGGCUGUCUUGAGUACAGUAGAGGUGGGCGGAAUUCGUGGUGUAGCGGUGAAAUGCUUAGAUAUCACGAAGAACUCCGAUUGCGAAGGCAGCUCACUGGACUGCAACUGACACUGAUGCUCGAAAGUGUGGGUAUCAAACAGGAUUAGAUACCCUGGUAGUCCACACAGUAAACGAUGAAUACUCGCUGUUUGCGAUAUACAGUAAGCGGCCAAGCGAAAGCAUUAAGUAUUCCACCUGGGGAGUACGCCGGCAACGGUGAAACUCAAAGGAAUUGACGGGGGCCCGCACAAGCGGAGGAACAUGUGGUUUAAUUCGAUGAUACGCGAGGAACCUUACCCGGGCUUAAAUUGCAUUUGAAUAUAUUGGAAACAGUAUAGCCGUAAGGCAAAUGUGAAGGUGCUGCAUGGUUGUCGUCAGCUCGUGCCGUGAGGUGUCGGCUUAAGUGCCAUAACGAGCGCAACCCUUAUCUUUAGUUACUAACAGGUCAUGCUGAGGACUCUAGAGAGACUGCCGUCGUAAGAUGUGAGGAAGGUGGGGAUGACGUCAAAUCAGCACGGCCCUUACGUCCGGGGCUACACACGUGUUACAAUGGGGGGUACAGAAGGCAGCUACCUGGUGACAGGAUGCUAAUCCCAAAAGCCUCUCUCAGUUCGGAUCGAAGUCUGCAACCCGACUUCGUGAAGCUGGAUUCGCUAGUAAUCGCGCAUCAGCCAUGGCGCGGUGAAUACGUUCCCGGGCCUUGUACACACCGCCCGUCAAGCCAUGAAAGCCGGGGGUACCUGAAGUACGUAACCGCAAGGAGCGUCCUAGGGUAAAACUGGUAAUUGGGGC